rnacentral:misc_RNA from 1 species
CCACCAAUGACAUAUGAAUAUAAGCCUGAGUAUGAAUUCCUGCAAAACUUAAGGCAUCAUCAAUCACUGCUGUGGUGCCUGCCGUGAAUGACCACCACCAUAACUACCAGAUACUUGUGCAGGAUCAGACCUCCAAGAUUCAUUGCCAUAUCCUGAAUUCCCAUUAGUGUCACCAUAGCCACCACCUGGGUAACCAUCCCCACUCCCUUGUUGGUCUCCCCCACCAGCUCCACUGCUGUUAUUUGGGGCAUUUCCAAUGCGCCCAACAGCAGCUCCAUACCCACCAGGAUAAGGACCAUCAUUUCCACCAUAAUUGCCAUAACCAUAACCUCCAUAACCAGAAGUUCCUCCUGGAGAUUGACCCAUAGGAGCUGAAGCAGGAUUGCCACCACCAGAUGCACUCCAUGGAGCUGUGGCCCCAUAACUUGCAUUUGCACCAUAACCUGACCCACCAUAAUUGGAAGGAACUUGGCCACCCCAAUUAUUUUUCAGGGCACCAGGCAUUCCAUAUGCCCCUGUUGGACCACCAAACCCGGUGUUCCCAGCUCCAUAUCCACCAACACCAUAACUACCAUAACCACCAUAACCA